rnacentral:rRNA from 1 species
CACCUGUUCCCAUGCCGAACACAGAAGUUAAGCUUCUUAACGCCGAAAGUAGUUGGUGGGCAACUGCCUGCGAGGAUAGGAAGCUGCCGUGCU